AUUGAACGCUGGCGGCAGGCUUAACACAUGCAAGUCGAGCGCGCGGCGGACGGGUGAGUAAUAUCUGGGAACCUGCCUGAUGGAGGGGGAUAACUACUGGAAACGGUCGCUAAUACCGCAUACCAUCAGAUGUGCCCAGAUGGGAUUAGCUAGUAGGUGGGGUAAUGGCUCACCUAGGCGACGAUCCCUAGCUGGUCUGAUAGGAUGACCAGCCACAAUGGAACGGAGACACGGUCCAGACUCCUACGGGAGGCAGCAGUGGGGAAUAUUGAACAAUGGGCGCAAGCCUGAUGCAGCCAUGCCGCGUGUGUGAAGAAGGCCUUCGGGUUGUAAAGCACUUUCAGCGAGGAGGCGUUACUCGCAGAAGAAGCACCGGCUAACUCCGUGCCAGCAGCCGCGGUAAUUC
rnacentral:rRNA from 1 species